rnacentral:misc_RNA from 1 species
ACCGACAAGGUGAAGGGCGGAAUCGGCGCGUCGAAGUGCAUUCCGUCCUCGGCCACCAUCUGGUACGCGCCACGCAUGGUCCCGACCGCCGUCUCGAGAUGCGUACCGCUGGUGUAUUCGAAACUUUCGCCGGGUUUGAGCAGAGGCUGUUGUCCGACGACGCCCAGGCCCUUGACCUCGACGACCUUGUUGUUGGCGUCGGUGAUGACCCAAUGCCG